CGAAAAUACAAUUUCGUGUUGCUUUGUUGCUGAAUAAAACCAUUGGUUGGAUCCCAUGUAAACGACUUCAGGACCGCACCAUUCCGAUUUUCGAGCAGUUCUUUUGCUGACACCGGUAUGGAAUUUGCAUAGCGGGCGUCCUAUCUUGCUACAGUCUUUAAUGUCGUCUUUGGAAAGUUCCAAAAAUGUUUCGAGAUCUCCUGACACAGCAAGGUUGAUAAUCUGUAAAAGCUUGUACUGCUGAGCGUGGUCAAAAAUAGGAACAUGUAUGAAGAGGCGAAAGGAAUUUUCCAUGGCUGCAACCGAGACAGUAGACUCUCGCUGGAGAGAUUAUUUGAGGGGCCAAAUGCCCGUUGGCUAGAAGACUAAAGCCGACGUCGAGACUAUCAGCAAAUUGUUGUAGCCACAGCAAGAUUUGAUUCAUUGCUUCAAACGUUUCAUCCAGUUGGAAAAAGUAUUCGAAGUGACUCAGUUCUAAGUCUUCCAUGUCAGCUAUUUUUUCCAUUAUGUUUGUGGUCACAUUUUUCAGCAUGGAGUAUUGGCCUCGUAGUUCUCUAAUUAAUUUUGCGUUAGUUCUUGUUUCCCAUAGUGAUUUAUUCAAGACUGUGGCUUGUUUGUCUAUAAUGUGGAUCACUUCUCGUUGAUUUCGGGAGAGAAGUGAAAUUUGAUUAUUCAGCUCUUCCAAAUCUUUCUGUGUCGACACUCCAAAAAUCCAUUUAAGGAGCUAUUCUGGAACUUCUACUUAUUUAGGGAGUAAUGUCUGAUAACAUAACAGAAAGUAGAACAUUCGUAACUAUAGCGUUUGAGUUUGGCGCUUCUAGGAACAGAUAGGCAGUGUACUGUCGAAUAAGGAAAAUCUUGAUUCGUUUAGUAAACGAAUACGAAUAAGACAUGAAAACGAAUACGAAUAACGAAUAACGAAUAAAUAGGACGUUUUAUUCGCGAAUGCGAAUAAUUUUCGAAUAACGAAUAACUUUUCGUAUGAAAUAUAUAAAAAAAAUGCAAAUUAGUCUUUACUUUUAGAAAAAAACAAAUCUUUUAAA